rnacentral:rRNA from 1 species
UACAGAGGUGCCAAGCGUUAGGCGGAAUCACUGGGCUUAAAGCGCGUGUAGGUGGGUCGUUAAGUGUCCGCGUGAAAUCCCACGGCUCAACCGUGGAACUGCCGGGCAUACUGGCGAUCUUGAGGCAUUCAGGGGCGAGCGGAACAAAUGGUGGAGCGGUGAAAUGCGCAGAUAUCAGGAGGAACACCGAUGGCGAAGGCAGGUCCCUGGGCAUUAACUGACGCUGAGGAGCGAAAGCAUGGGGAGCGAACAGG